ACACUACACACUACACUACACUACACUACACUACACUACACUACACACUACACUACACACACACUACACUACACUACACUACACUACACUACACCACACCACACCACACUACACUACACACUACACUACACUAUACUACACUACACUACACACUACACACUACACUACACAACACUACACUACACACACUACACCAAACUACACUACACACACACUACACUACACUACACUACACCACACUACACUACACUACACUACACUACACACUACACUACACUACACUACACACACUACACCACACUACACUACACACACACUACACCACACCACACUACACACUACACUACACUACACUACACUACACACACACUACACUACACUACACACUACACUACACUACACACUACACUACACACACACUACACCCACACUACACUACACUACACACUACACACUACACUACACUACACACACUACACUACACUACACUACACUACACACACACUACACUACACCACACCACACCACACUACACUACACUACACCACACUACACCAGACUACACUACACUACACUACACUACACACACACACACUACACACACACUACACUACACUACACUACACUACACUACACACACUACACUACACUACACCACACACUACACUACACCACACUACACUACACUACACUACACCACACUACACUACACCACACUACACUACACCACACCACACCACACCCCACUACACUACACUACACACUACACACUACACUACACUACACUACACUACACCACACUACACACACGCUGCACCACACCGAGUUGAAGGGGGGAGGGAGUGAGGGAGGGAGAGAAAGAGAGAGACAGAGGGAGGGAUGGAGAGAAAGAGACAGAGGGAUGGAGAGAAAGAGGGCUGGGGAUUGGGGAUGGAUGCUUGCUUCUAAUAUUCUCCCCCUUUGCAUCUUUAGAUUUGGAGUGACUGACUGGAGUCAUUUAGUGGGCCAUAUGCUGAGAGAGGUUGGGUGCAUUACCUCUUUGACUUUGGAGUUUUUUACCUUUAGCUGUCUUUGAUCAUUGAUUCUAGCCUUAUGGGCACACGCACACACACACACACACACACACACACACACACGCACACACACACACACACACACACACACACACACACACUUGCAUGUAUACUCUCAUACGCUCAUACGGUUUAGGAAUGUCCACGAGGCAGGAGGUUUAGGAAUGUCAUGAGGCAGGAGGUUUAGGAAUGUCCACGAGGCAGGAGGUUUAGGAAUGUCAUGAGGCAGGAGGUUUAGGAAUGUCCACGAGGCAGGAGGUUUAGGAAUGUCAUGAGGCAGGAGGUUUAGGAAUGUCCACGAGGCAGGAGGUUUAUGAAUGUCAUGAGGCAGGAGGUUUAGGAAUAUCCACGAGGAAGGAGGUUUAGGAAUGUCCACGAGGCAGGAGGUUUAGGAAUAUCAUGAGGAAGGAGGUUUAGGAAUAUCAUGAGGAAGGAGGUUUAGGAAUGUCAUGAGGCAGGAGGUUUAGGAAUAUCAUGAGGC
ensembl:lncRNA